ensembl:lncRNA
GUGAGGUACAGUAGUGCUGGGUGAGGUACAGUAGUGCUGGGUGAGGUACAGUAGUGCUGGGUGAGGUACAGUAGUGCUGGGUGAGGUACAGUAGUGAGUGCUGGGUGAGGUACAGUAGUGAGUGCUGGGUGAGGUACAGUAGUGCUGGGUGAGGUACAGUAGUGCUGGGUGAGGUAGAGUGGGCCAUCAAGGCUUUUGAGGGAGAGCAAGUAGAUCCUCUUAAGCUACUUGACAGCUUGGUUAGCCUGAUCAAGUCUGUGAGCAGCAGGGUGCUGAAUCCACUGGCAAAUGUUGAUGUACUCAAAGGGCCAAUAGAUGGAUGCAUCAGUCCCAACCUGACCUGAGGAUGAAAAUAAUGUCCGAAAGCGGUGUGUAGCCUUCACCAUCUCCCUCACUAAUGAGUUGAGGGUGAGACUGCCGGACAACAUCGAAGCAUUGCAGUACAUGUUAGUUUUAUUUUUUUAUUUUUAUGUAUUUAUUUUUUAUUUUACCCCUUUUUCUCCCCAAUUUCGUGGUAUCCAAUUGUUUAGUAGUACUAUCUUGUCUCAUCGCUACAAUUCCCGUACGGGCUCAGGAGACGAAGGUUGAAAGUCAUGCGUCCUCCGAUACACAACCCAACCAAGCCGCACUGCUUCUUAACACAGCGCGCAUCCAACCCGGAAGCCAGCCGCACCAAUGUGUCAGAGGAAACACUGUGCACCUGGCAACCUUGGUUAGCGCGCACUGCGCCCGGCCCGCCACACGAGUCGCUGAUGCGCGAUGAGACAAGGAUAUCCCUACCGGCCGAACCCUCUCUAACCCGGACGACACUAGGCCAAUUGUGUGUCGCCCCACGGACCUCUCGGUCGCGGCCGGCUGCGACAGAGCCUGGGCGCGAACCCAGAGUCUCUGGUAGUACAG